ACGGGUGAGUAACGCGUGAGUAACCUGCCUUUCAGAGGGGGAGUAACGUUCUGAAAAGAACGCUAAUACCGCNUAACAUCAAUUUAUCGCAUGAUAGGUUGAUCAAAGGAGCAAUCCGCUGGAAGAUGGACUCGCGUCCGAUUAGCCAGUUGGCGGGGUAACGGCCCACCAAAGCGACGAUCGGUAGCCGGACUGAGAGGUUGAACGGCCACAUUGGGACUGAGACACGGCCCAGACUCCUACGGGAGGCAGCAUG
rnacentral:rRNA from 1 species